rnacentral:rRNA from 1 species
AACGAACGCUGGCGGCAUGCCUAACACAUGCAAGUCGAACGAGACCUUCGGGUCUAGUGGCGCACGGGUGCGUAACGCGUGGGAACCUGCCUUUAGGUUCGGAAUAACUCAGAGAAAUUUGAGCUAAUACCGGAUGAUGUCUUCGGACCAAAGAUUUAUCGCCUUUAGAUGGGCCCGCGUUGGAUUAGCUAGUUGGUGGGGUAAAGGCCUACCAAGGCGACGAUCCAUAGCUGGUCUGAGAGGAUGAUCAGCCACACUGGGACUGAGACACGGCCCAGACUCCUACGGGAAGCAGCAGUGGGGAAUAUUGGACAAUGGGCGAAAGCCUGAUCCAGCAAUGCCGCGUGAGUAAUGAAGGCCUUAGGGUUGUAAAGCUCUUUUACCCGAGAUGAUAAUGACAGUAUCGGGAGAAUAAGCUCCGGCUAACUCCGUG